CUACGGGACGCUCCAGUCGAGGAAAUUUUACAAUGCUCGCAAGAGUGAUAGAAUGAGCCAGAGUGUUUCUCUUAGAGAAACUUUUUUUGAUGUAAAGAGUCAGAAGAAUAAGGACUGGGCAAGACCGGUGCCAGCCGCCGCGGUAAUACCGGCGGUCCAAGUCGCAUCCACAUUUAUUGGGUCUAAAACAUUCGUAGCUUGUUUUGUAAGUCUCUUGUGAAAUCUAACAUCUCAAGUGUUAGGCGUGCAAGAGAUACUGCAUCACUAGAGACCGGAAGAUGCAAAGAGUAUGGUUGAGGUAGCGGUAAAAUGUGUUAAUCUCAAUUAGACUAACAAUGGCGAAGGCACUUUGCAAGUACGGAUCUGACAGUGAGGAAUGAAGGCUAGGGGCGCAAAAGGGGUUAGAUACCCCCGUAGUC
rnacentral:rRNA from 1 species